UACGGGGGGGGCGAGCGUUGUUCGGAAUUAUUGGGCGUAAAGGGAGCGUAGGCGGUGGGGUAAGUUUGGUGGGAAACCUCCAGGCUCAACUUGGAGCUGGCAUCAAAUACUGCCGUGCUAGAGUCCGGAAGAGGAGUGUGGAAUUCCUGGUGUAGCGGUGAAAUGCGCAGAUAUCAGGAAGAACACCUAUGGCGAAGGCAGCACUCUGGGACGGUACUGACGCUGAGACGCGAAAGCGUGGGGAGCGAACAGG
rnacentral:rRNA from 1 species